UAGGGAAUCUUCCUCAAUGGGCGAAAGCCUGACGGAGCAACGCCGCGUGCGUGAUGAAGGUCUUCGGAUCGUAAAACUCUGUUAUUAGGGAAGAACAAAUGUGUAAGUAACUAUGCACGUCUUGACGGUACCUAAUCAGAAAGCCACGGCUAACUACGUGCCAGCAGCCGCGGUAAUACGUAGGUGGCAAGCGUUAUCCGGAAUUAUUGGGCGUAAAGCGCGCGUAGGCGGUUUUUUAAGUCUGAUGUGAAAGCCCACGGCUCAACCGUGGAGGGUCAUUGGAAACUGGAAAACUUGAGUGCAGAAGAGGAAAGUGGAAUUCCAUGUGUAGCGGUGAAAUGCGCAGAGAUAUGGAGUAACACCCGUGGCGAAGGCGACUUUCUGGUCUGUAACUGACGCUGAUGUGCGAAAGCGUGGGGAUCAAACAGG
rnacentral:rRNA from 1 species